AUUGUAGCUUGCUACAGAUGACGACCGGCGCACGGGUGCGUAACGCGUAUAGAACCUACCUUUUACAUAGGGAUAGCCUUUAGAAAUGAAGAUUAAUACCUUAUAGUAUUGAGACUUGGCAUCAAGUUUUAAUUAAAGAUUUAUCGGUAAAAGAUGGCUAUGCGUCCUAUUAGUUAGUUGGUAAGGUAACGGCUUACCAAGACAUCGAUAGGUAGGGGUCCUGAGAGGGAGAUCCCCCACACUGGUACUGAGACACGGACCAGACUCCUACGGGAGGCAGCAGUGAGGAAUAUUGGACAAUGGAGGCAACUCUGAUCCAGCCAUGCCGCGUGUAGGAAGAAUGCCCUAUGGGUUGUAAACUACUUUUAUACAGGAAGAAACACUGGUAUGUAUACCAGCUUGACGGUACUGUAAGAAUAAGGACCGGCUAACUCCGUGCCAGCAGCCGCGGUAAUACGGAGGGUCCGAGCGUUAUCCGGAAUCAUUGGGUUUAAAGGGUCCGCAGGCGGUCGAUUAAGUCAGAGGUGAAAUCCCAUAGCUCAACUAUGGAACUGCCUUUGAUACUGGUUGACUUG
rnacentral:rRNA from 1 species